rnacentral:rRNA from 1 species
AGAGUUUGAUCAUGGCUCAGAGCGAACGCUGGCGGCAGGCCUAACACAUGCAAGUCGAGCGCCGUAGCAAUACGGAGCGGCAGACGGGAGAGUAACACGUGGGAACGUGCCCUUCAGUUCGGAACAACCCAGGGAAACUUGGGCUAAUACCGGAUACGUCCGUAAGGAGAAAGAUUUAUCGCUGAAGGAUCGGCCCGCGUCUGAUUAGCUAGUUGGUGGGGUAAUGGCCCACCAAGGCGACGAUCAGUAGCUGGUCUGAGAGGAUGAUCAGCCUCACUGGGACUGAGACACGGCCCAGACUCCUACGGGAGGCAGCAGUGGGGAAUAUUGGACAAUGGGCGCAAGCCUGAUCCAGCCAUGCCGCGUGGGUGAUGAAGGCCCUAGGGUUGUAAAGCCCUUUCGGCGGGGAAGAUAAUGACGGUACCCGCAGAAGAAGCCCCGGCUAACUUCGUGCCAGCAGCCGCGGUAAUACGAAGGGGGCUAGCGUUGCUCGGAAUCACUGGGCGUAAAGCGCACGUAGGCGGCUUUUUAAGUCAGGGGUGAAAUCCUGGAGCUCAACUCCAGAACUGCCUUUGAUACUGAGAAGCUUGAGUCCGGGAGAGGUGAGUGGAACUGCGAGUGUAGAGGUGAAAUUCGUAGAUAUUCGCAAGAACACCAGUGGCGAAGGCGGCUCACUGGCCCGGUACUGACGCUGAGGUGCGAAAGCGUGGGGAGCAAACAGGAUUAGAUACCCUGGUAGUCCACGCCGUAAACGAUGGAUGCUAGCCGUUGUCGGGUUUACCCGUCAGUGGCGCAGCUAACGCAUUAAGCAUCCCGCCUGGGGAGUACGGUCGCAAGAUUAAAACUCAAGGAAUUGACGGGGGCCCGCACAAGCGGUGGAGCAUGUGGUUCAAUUCGAAGCAACGCGAAGAACCUUACCAGCCUUUGACAUCCCC